ACAGUGGUAGUUCAGUAGUAAAAUUCCCAACUUCCAUGUGGGAGACCUGGGUUGGAUCCCCGGUCACUGCA
rnacentral:tRNA from 1 species